rnacentral:rRNA from 1 species
UACAGAGGGUGCAAGCGUUAUUCGGAAUCACUGGGCGUAAAGAGUUCGUAGGCGGUUUGUUAAGUUCAAUGUGAAAGCCCAGGGCUCAAUCCUGGAAGUGCAUUGGAUACUGGCAAGCUGGAGUGCAGGAGAGGAAGGCGGAAUUUCAGGUGUAGAGGUGAAAUUCGUAGAUAUCUGAAGGAACAACAGAGGCGAAGGCGGCCUUCUGGACUGUCACUGACGCUGAGGAACGAAAGCGUGGGGAGCAAACAGG